CGGACGUCACACACAUGGAUACGCUAGGAAUCACGGGAUUGCCCGCCGCGCUACGCGGGCCGCGCUGGCUGACGACGAGUCGCAUAGUUUAUGACCUCACGCAUAGCGGACAGAGUCUGCUCUUUGCUGAGCCUAGUUGCUUUGUUGUGACAUCCGAGCGAAGGCGACGAAGGGGUCACCAGUGCUGACCCCGCAGGCCACUGUCACGGAGCCUAAGCGCAAAAGGGAACUGGGAGGGCGGAAGAGCGUCUACGCAUGCGCGCCCUGCUGCUGUUGCUGUUUCUUGAGGCGGGGGUCAGAGGUGAGCGGUGCCGGAAGUUCCCUUUGUGCUCCUCCGCUUUCCCGCCACAGGAGGGCGGUUGAAAGCGGCUGACAGACGUUGUCUCCACGGAGGAAACGGGAGGGAGUCGAUCGUAUUUGACGUCACCGGUGAGCGCCUUGGUCACAGGAUUAUCGCCCUGUUGACCAAGGAGCCGCAACCUCCUGUGUCUGGGAGCGAGAGCAAAAACCUGCGCGUGCGCGCUGAGUGCCGCUGAUUCUGCUGGUGAUCCCUGUUUCCGGUAUCCCGGAUCAGAGGUGACCGGGACCGGAAGUGGCCAUUUAAACUACGAAAAUCAGUUGUCAGCGGCCGUGAACGAAACGCCUGCGGGGACUUUACCAAAAGGCCUUAGACGGUGGCGAGGACUAGAGUCUGGGCACCGGAAGCUAAGGUGACAUCAGAUGCCACACAGCACCUGAGCGAGGCUUCGAUCAGACGCCGGCAGCUGGAGCGGCAGAAACUACAGGAACUUGAGCAGCGGCGUGAAGAGCAGAAGCGGAAGGAGCGUGAGGAUGAGGCGCGGCGGCGGGCAGGCCAGCGGAAGCAGCGGGAGGCAGAGCAGCAACAACGGGCACGGCGUCGGGAGGAGAAGCUUCGGCGCAGAGAGGCACGGCAACGAGCACGGAAGAGACGAGGCCGACGUCGAGAGGAGGAGGAGGAGGAGGAGGAGGCAGAGCCCCAGCCUGUGUUGGGGCGUGAGGAAGAGGAAGGUGCAGAGCCCCGUCGGCUACUGCUCGCCCAGCGCAACCUGCAGUCUGUGCGGCUCAUUGCUGCCCUGCUUGCCCGCGCUGAAGCCGCCAGACGCCGCCAGCGUGAGCAGAGCGAGGAGCGACGUCGCCAUGCAAAGGAGGCAGAGCUUCGGCGCCAGCAGGAGGCAGAGCUUCGGCGUCAGAGGGAGGCAGAGCUACGCCGAGUGGAAGAGGAGAAGCGGCGGGCACUGGGACUGCAACGUCGGGAGCGUGAGCUCCGACAUCGCCUCCUUGCCCUGCUGCUUGCCCGGGGGCCUGGCUUGGGGUGUCUAGUGGGCGGAGCCGGGACAGGAAGUGACGUUUUGGGGGCUGGGAACAGCAAGAUGGCUGUGGGGAGUGGCCAUGGGGAGGCAGGACAAAGCCAGACAAUGACAGGAAGUGAAAUCAGGGGAGAUGGAAGGGAGAAUAUGAAGACAGGAAGUGAUGUGGCUACCUCAGGAAAUGGCCACAUUGACAGAGAAAAUGAGAAAAUAAAGACAGGAAGUGGGAUCCCAGCCACAGGAGGUGGUACUGGGGACCCAAGAGGUG
rnacentral:lncRNA from 1 species